CCCUUAGAUGUUCUGGGCCGCACGCGUGCUACACUGAGUGGAUCAGCGGGUCAGGUUGCGCGAAAGUGUUUCCUAAUCUUGAAAUCCGCUCGUGAUGGGGAUUGACGGUUGCAAUUUUCCGUCAUGAACGAGGAAUACCUUGUAAGCGCGGGUCAUCAUCCCGCGCUGAAUACGUCCAUGCCCUUUGUACACACCGCCCGUCGCUCCUACCGAUUGAGUGGUCCGGUGAGGCUUUGGGAUCUGAGCGGAAAGAGCGUUUCGCUGUUUCUGCUCGGAAAACUCAGUCGAACCUUAUCAUUUAGAGGAAGGAGAAGUCGUAACA
rnacentral:rRNA from 1 species